UUCAUCAUCGUCAAAAUGAGCAUCUCCUCCAAGACCAUCACCGGGAGCAAAGGCGUGGGCGAGAGUGUUACUGGGCCCAUCAAAGGAAUUAUAAUCACCAUGUUCUGUUAAAUAAGGCGAACAAGCCAAAAUUUACAAACCAUUUUGUGCACACAUUGACAUGAAACAUUUGGUAAAUAGUUAUCUCCAAGUGGAUUCAAACAGUCAAUCUAACACAUAUAUAACUCUAUGUAAUACAAUAUAAUGCCGAUUAGAGGUAUUGUGUGUAUAAGUACAUCAUUUCUUUAGGGUAUUCUGAUUCUGAGUAACCUAUCCAUACUCUAUUUUCUAUUGUUUUAGACUCAUAUUUUUAAUAAUGAUGUUAUCUGAGUGCAUCUUCCAUUGCUGAAAAAAUUUGCACUCACCCCAGCGAGCAAAGGAGAUCAUAAUAUCAGCAAUGCCGCUGUAGAUCCUUGUGAACCUCAGUGGAGUGACUUUGGCCCACACCUGCAGAGCUUUGUCUAUGGAGUCAUCCACCUCUGCCACAGACAUGUCAGAUCAUUCACCUGUAUGUGAGGCUGUUUUUCUCCCAUUUGUUUCUAAAAAUGGAGAAACGAGCAACCUGUUCAUCGGGAACCCCACAGCGGGGCUUCUUCAUCAUGGCCAAAGUGUCAGCAUCCAGAGACCCGGUGAUCUGGAGACCAAAGAAUCUCUGCAUGUCAGCCAGCUUCUUGUUCAACGGGCUGAUGCCCCCUCUGCCAGCUGGACCCUCCUCCUCUGUGAGGUUGAAGAAUUUCUUCAGAAACUUCAGAAAUCGGCGCAGAGAGAACUGCAGUCGCCAGACUGAACAGAAUACACCCGAAGUCAGAAAACCUGUGAUUGCAGCUGAACCUGAUGUCAACUGAUAACUCAACCUAUGACUUGUUACUGCAGCUUGAUGAUCUGAUGCAUGAAUCACAGAGAUUGAAUCACAGAGGUUGUUGUAGGCAGAAGAUCUUUUACUGCUGAAUGUUGAGUUGUCAUGACUGAAAUUACCCAAACACUUCAGGGACUCUUCCUCCUUCUCAAGAAUAGUACUCUCUAUCUGCUGCCUUUUAAGGUAAUGAAGUAUUCAAAAAAAAAAAGAGAAAAAAUUCCAGAUCAUGCUGAGACGACUGAAUGGAUAUCAAAGGCUGAUGCUCAUUGUUAUACACCCUUUUGGCUUUUGCUUUGGUAACUUUGCAGUACAGUGUUUAAAAACCAUGCUGAUAACCCCAUCGUUAUAUGAGUAGUCAUCAUAUUUUCCCUCCAAACAGAGAUUAUGAUUCAAACAUCAGGUCUAUCUCCACAGUCAGGUGUAUGUGGGCAGUCUAUGAUAAAACAGAGAUCCGCACCCUUAAACAUAACAGUGUGCGUGUGAGACAGUGAGACAACAAAUCCAGACAUUUCCAUUUUGGCAGCUUAUCAACAAUUUUCUCAGAUUCCUGGAAUGAUAGAUGUCAAAAUGGCUAAAAAAAAAUAGGCUAUAUCUCAGACAUAACAAAGAUGUGGCAUGGAUUUGGCAAUAAAUAAAAACCAAAGUGUGAAAAUUAUCUUUCAAAUUUCACCAUCACCAUUCAACAUUUCACCAUUCAUCAUAACAGAAAAACAUGCUUGUUCUGUUAUCACUAAAAGUUGUAAAAUGUUGUAUCACUAAAAUAUCAUUCUCAGUCAGUUGUUAUUUAUUAUGUGUUUACAGCGCCCUCUGUGGUUGCUCCAAGUAAUGCGCUUUAGAAACGGCUUUAGUUUGGAAAAAACUUUAUUGAACAGGAACUCCGCUCAGUGAGCAAGUGAGCAAGAAGAAGGGAAACAUAUCGGCACACAGUUUAUGGUGUCCUGUUGGAAAAAAUACUGUCCACAUCUUCUGUUUAUGGUUGUAUCGCCGGUAUGUACAAGUUGCAACUUUGUUUUUUGUACAAUAUGUUGCCCGCUAAUGCAGCAUAUGGCUGUAAAGCUAGUCCUUUUGUUAAGCUAGUUACCCGCGAUUUUGGAGGUCUUCUGGGAUAGCAUCAGUAGUAGUUUAAAAAGUUUACAUAAUUAGACAUAUGCUAUGUAGUAGCAUUGUGGUAUAUAAAUGCAUAUUAUGCUGCACAUAUGUAUGUCAUGACUGUAUUUUUUUGCCUUGUUUUUAGUUUUACCCUUUUGAAUGUCAGUAAACCUGUUGACAACGCUCAUCGGUCUUCAGAGUGGUGAUAUAAGAAAGGUGUUAACGCCCCUGCAUCAGACAUGCACCCCGGCACAAUGCUCCUUCCUUCCAUCGACACUAGCCAGUUGAACAACUCACCACUUUGCAUCGAGGUUCUAGCAACAGGCAGGACUCUAAUGCAGGCUCCAGGCCAUAGUUCCAUGUAUUUAUUUAAAGUUA